CGCGGCCGCCGCUGCCCGGAGUGGACGUUCCCCGAGUCACGUCCCGGUGGUGGCGAGUGCAUGCGCGGCUGGGACGCGCCCGGGUGGCGUCGCUCCUCUUUGGCACUGGCGAUGCGAGGGGAGGUAGCGGGGAGAGGAAACCCUCUUCCGCUGAGGGGGGGAAACAUCUAAGUGGACCAGUAGGCGAACUGAGGCUGAACUGUGGACGUUUACUAGACACAAUUCGAAAGUUUGGAAGCCGAGGGCACGGUCUGUCCAGGCGAAGGCGUGGCUCUGCGAUGAUGGGCUGGGCGGCUCCAACAAAUAGGGAUUUCUGCUCGAAAACCUGCUGUGGCUCCCCAGGAUAAGGUUCAUUCAGCCUCUUUGCUUGGCACUUCCGGCCUGGUCUCCGCUGCCCUCUUUCCACACACUGGGCCACAGCCCUGCCCUUUCCCGGCCAGGUCUACAAACAUAACCCCGUCCCUCCUCCUGGUCUUUGCCCAGUCUGUUUAGGCCACCUGGAAUGUCAGUUCCCUCCACCCGUGUCCUUCGUUUUGAUUAAGGGAAACUCUGUCUACCAGCCUUCUCUGAUUCUGGUCUGCAAAAUGAAGAAGCCUGAGUCCUAUUCCAUGAUCCCACUACUGAGCUGCUUCCCCGGAAGACCACCAAAAUGACCUGCAGUUCUGUUCCCUGAGCUGGGCCGGAUGCUACUUUGGCCAUGGCCAGGACCUAAACCUGUCCUGGAGAGAAGAACCUGGUGAGUGGAACACAAGAGUGAGAGCCUGUGUCACAGAGCCUGGCCAGUGGGGGCUGGACCCACCUGCUCCAGCUGCAGCUGCAUGGUACGCUGGGCUGCCACAUCCCCCAACGCAAUCUCCACAUAGGGGUAGCUGGAGUUGGCUGUGGGCCGCUGGGUCCGUGUAGACUGGAUCUCCUUCAGGGGGAAUUUCACAAUCAGCUCCUGGGAGUGCAGGAGGAAGACAGGAACAGUUUCAAUCACUGUUAUCACCUCCCCUGCAAAUCAGAUCAGUGGAACAGAGGAGGCCCCAGUCCAAGUGUUGGAUCCCUAGUGAUUUCCUGUGCAACCUCAAGCACAUCACUAUUCUUCUCUGGACCUUGGUUUCCUCACCUGUGAAACUAAAUCAAUAAAUUAGCAAAAGAUGCA